CUCUCUCUAUCAACCGUGUUUACCCAGCAGGUCCAGCGAGGUUCUGACAACUGUAGUUCUUCCCUUUAGGAGUGUGACCAGUGGUGUACAGUGAUCAGAUAGCCUUGUUAAACCUAAGUACUGUUUAUUUUAAACAGUAGAAACAAAGCAUUGUAGAAUUUAAAAACAACAAAAGGUCUAAACGUAACCAUCCUUGGUUAGUAACCUAGGCAGGCCUAACUUCAUACACCCCAGCAGGUGGCUGAGUCUCAGCCUAAUUCCUCUGAAAAAUAUCCCUGUCUCUCAAAAGAGAGUCUGUUGUUUUUUUAAUUGCAAUAGUAUUUUGAUCUUGUAUGUUCCCAGGCCUUUUCCUGCCUUGGCAUUGUCUUAACACCCUUACGUGUUUGCAGAAAAGUGGCUUAUCUUGAUUCAUUUUACCAUCCUGUUUGUUUUUCCUUACAGACUCUACAACACUAAACCAAUAUGUUCGCACAGUAAACAUCCCAAUAACCAGGUCAACAUACGGUAUUCAUAAACUGUGACAGCACAGUUCCAAUUCUGUCACUGCCUUUUCAGCAACUGACCAAGAGAUGUUAUUGACAUAGCUCUGUGCCCCAAGAGGAGUGGAUUAUAGCAUUUCUCAAACUUCUUUGCACCAUGACCCCCUUCUGAUAAUAAAAAUGACUACACAACCCCGGGAAAGAGGACUGAAGCCUGAGCCCCGCUGCCCUGGGGGCGGGGUGAAGCCGAAGCUUGAGGGCUUCAGCCCUGGGCAGGGGGAGCUCUAACUUGAGAGCCCUGCUGUCCAGGGCUGAAGCCCUCAGGUUUUUGCUUCAGCCCUGAGCAGUGGAGGUUCAGACUUUGGCUUCAGCCCUAGGCCCCAGCAAGUCUAACAGCAGCCCUGGCGACCCCAUUAAAAUGGGGUCAUGACCCACUUUUAGGUCCUACUCCACAGUUUGAGAACCGCUGGCGAGCAUUCUUCACUCUUUUCUAAGAGAUCUCAGGGCACUGGUAUUCUGUAGAUGCUCCUCUAUCCUAGUCUCUUUGUGACAGGAUGGAGUAGGCCCUGAGGCUCCACUGCAGGAGGCUUUGUGGUCCUGCCACAUCCUGCCCCAGAAAAGGAUAGUGGAGAGAGUCCUCAAGCUGCCUAGAGUGGCGGUGUGGGAUGCAGUCAAUCAGAGAGGAGCUGCAAUGGAACAGCCAAUCCGUGCCCAGCAGACCCAUAUAAAAGGAGCUGCAGUGCAGUGCAGAAUUCAGUUCCUUGCUGGAGAUGAAGAAGUGUGAAGGGUGUGCCUGCCUGAGGAAGCUACAGGAUCUUGGAUAGAGCAGUGCUAGCAGAGAGCUGGGGGAAUGAGGAGCUCUGGGCUGGUGGCUGGGACUCAACCAAGAUGAGGCAUUGAGGGCUGAGACACCGAAGAUUCACCACAAACUGAAUGAGAGAGUGAGUGCAGGCACAUGUACUUGGACAGGGGGCACUCGCAAGAGAUUGUGCAUUUUUCUUGCCUGACCCUGGAGGAAGAUAAACUUGCUGAAGUCUAAUCCAGGAAAGAUGGAGAUAUCAGACUGGCAUAAAUACCAAGGAUGAAGAGACUUUAUUUCAUAUUCCAUAAGAAGAUUGAUUGAUUGAUACAUGCUAUUUUAUAAAUAGAUCGUGUCUGUCUGUGUGCACAUGGGCUUUGACUAUCACACGGACGUUUCAGCACAGAUGGCAGUACGCAAACAAAACAAGGGAGAGUGUAAUAAAGGCGAGGCACAGAA